rnacentral:rRNA from 1 species
UACGGGGGGAGCAAGCGUUGUUCGGAUUUACUGGGCGUAAAGGGCGCGUAGGCGGCCACCGCAAGUCGGUUGUGAAAUCUCCGGGCUUAACCCGGAAAGGUCAAUCGAUACUGCGGGGCUAGAGUGCAGAAGGGGCAACUGGAAUUCUCGGUGUAGCGGUGAAAUGCGUAGAUAUCGAGAGGGACACCUGCGGCGAAGGCGGGUUGCUGGGCUGACACUGACGCUGAAGCGCGAAAGCUAGGGGAGCGAACGGG